AAGUUUCUUAUCACUCUAAGUGGCACUUGCUGCAAUUUUCUAUUGCCGUGGAUUCAAUAUUAGUUGGUUGUCUUUACUAUAUGUUGAUGUGUAAUACAAGAUUUUUAAUCAAACUCUUUUAUCAAUUUGUGUGCUAUUCAUGUCAGAUAACUCAUAAAUCAUGAAGUUAUUAUAUUUUUAUUUUCAUAUAUACCAACAUACAUGACAUACAACUUUCCAAAAGAAAAUAUCAAAUGACC
rnacentral:lncRNA from 1 species